CCUACGGGCGGCAGCAGUCGAGAAUCAUUCACAAUGGGGGAAACCCUGAUGGUGCGACGCCGCGUGGGGGAAUGAAGGUCUUCGGAUUGUAAACCCCUGUCAUGUGGGAGCAAAUUAAAAAGAUAGUACCACAAGAGGAAGAGACGGCUAACUCUGUGCCAGCAGCCGCGGUAAUACAGAGGUCUCAAGCGUUGUUCGGAAUCACUGGGCGUAAAGCGUGCGUAGGCUGUUUCGUAAGUCGUGUGUGAAAGGCGCGGGCUCAACCCGCGGACGGCACAUGAUACUGCGAGACUAGAGUAAGGGAGGGGGAGCCGGAAUUCGCGGUGUAGCAGUGAAAUGCGUAGAUAUCGAGAGGAACACUCGUGGCGAAGGCGGGUUCCUGGACAUUAACUGACGCUGAGGCACGAAGGCCAGGGGAGCGAAAGGGAUUAGAUACCCUAGUAGUC
rnacentral:rRNA from 1 species